rnacentral:rRNA from 1 species
UACGAAGGGUGCAAGCGUUACUCGGAAUUACUGGGCGUAAAGCGUGCGUAGGCGGUUUGUUAAGUCCGUUGUGAAAGCCCUGGGCUCAACCUGGGAAUUGCAGUGGAUACUGGCGAGCUAGAGUGCGGUAGAGGAUGGUGGAAUUCCCGGUGUAGCGGUGAAAUGCGUAGAGAUCGGGAGGAACACCCGUGGCGAAGGCGGCCAUCUGGACCAGCACUGACGCUGAAGCACGAAAGCGUGGGGAGCAAACAGG